rnacentral:tRNA from 3 species
ACCUACUUGGAGAAAUUGGUAGACUCAAACGACUUAAAAUUGUUUGCACUUUGUGUGUGAGGGUUCAAGUCCCUCAGUAGGUA